UUUAUUUCCUCACAGUUCUGGACGCUGGAAGUCCGACAACAAGAUAUUGGAAAGACAACAUCUGAAAAUUCUGCCUGAUAGAUAGAGAGAAGCAUCCUGGCAAGAGACACGGAGCUGACAGACGAAGAGAUGCACGUCUGACAGAAUUGGGACUAUUCACCCAAAGUGAGACAAAGUGAAAUGCCAAGCACAUUGAGAAUCUCUUCCUUCUUACUGUCAACGGAUUCACCUAAUCAAAGCACUUUUAGUCACUGCAUCCAAUUUCCAUCCUCAUCCAACACAUGGUGGGGUCUUUUUCUCGUUUCUUCUGAGUUGACACACACAAAACCCAAGAGUCCCACUUUUGGCGAGGAACGUGUUGCUGUCAGCUUGCAUUUGUUACCGCACAUUGGUUCCCCGUGUCCCAGUAAUGACCCCCUGUAAAGGCCACUGGGCAAGAGAAUUGCAAGAUCGAGCGAGGCGGCGGGAAUUACAGGAAAGGAUUAACGGCAGAACAGCCUGUUGCGACAGCGAAAAACAGCCCGAGGACAGGGGCGUGCUCCCAUCUGACAGGCGGAAGUGUGCCAGGGUUUAUGUAUUAGGUCACAGCAAGAAAGCUAUUUUUGCUGUGCCCUCUGACCUUCUGUAGAAGGUGAGCCCCAAGAUGCCUAUGAUACACACCAGACUUUUGCAGGCUGCCCUGACUCAAGAGGGAAGAGCAGAUGCUGACUAGUGCAGGGUCCUGUAGAGUUUGGGAAUCCACCAUUCACAACAGGAUGAAAGGAUUUUCAUGGGUGUUGCCAUCUGCUGGAACAAGAAAAGAUGAUGUAGAUACUGCUGGUUUGGACUGGCUCAGAGAGAAAAGAAACAAAUAGAUGGGAGUACGUGCCAAGGGUCACUGAUGCUUCCAGAGGGCAGUGGCCUCGGCUGUCUUACUCAAGGCUGAAUUCUUAGCCCCUACAAGACUCAUGCCUGGCAUGUAACAAGUGCACAGCCAGUUUUCCUCCAAUGAAUGAGGGGCUUUCUCAGAAUAAAGUUUUUGUAAUCAGAGACCAAGACAGCCACUGAUUCUCUGCAGCCUUGAAGUCUGUCUUUUCUGAAUAUCCAGACAGAGGACAAGUCUUGAUUAUAACGAUCAUUAGCCUAGAGUACUGCCCAGUUCUGAACUCAAGGAUAAGAAUCCCCUCCAAGCUCCUGCCAGGCUGUCUCCACACUCUGACAUCACAUCCUGCCUCUUUGAUUAGGUUUCACAGUGAAUUUUGCCCCUCCCAAACACACUUUGUUAAUCUUUUUUAGGUCUGGGAAUUCAGCCAAAAAUUCCUGAAGGAUGAAUUCCUUUUCCUCGGUGAGGUUGACAUUUGAGCACACAUCGCCCUCUUGUGUCUACGACACAUUUGGCAACGUAGUUUCCAGCACCUGCUAAUGCACACAGCAAAUUGAAGCCUUGUUAACAUCCCUUAAGCCUGCAGACCUCGGUACAAGGCGGAGGGAGAACAAACGCACCAAUUUUCCCAGAAUAGUCAAGAACAUCCAGAAGAAUCCAGAAUUUGUGAAGAUGGUACUGGUGGACCUUACCUUCCGAAAACUGCUAUCAGGGCCUCUGCAGGAGGCCCUGGCUGUGAUAAAUGUGCAUCUGUAGAGUGCACAACCUGAACAUCCUUACCAAGCAGCCCUGACCAAUAUCUUCCUGCCUAAAGAGUGCCAAUGCUGAGAGUAUGCCUUUAAAACCCCAUUUUGGCCAUUUCUCAAGAAGUAAGUGAGACUUGUACUUCCCUAUCUCCCCUUAAGGGGAGUCCCCAGUGCAUUAGUGGUAGAGCUCUCCCUAAGGACUUUUGUGUGCGUCUCCACCCUCUGUUCUUCUAGGUGCAUCCUGUUUUUAAUGGGGCAUAAUCUCUUACCUCAAAAGAGCAAAGCUCCACUGGCAAACCUCUAGACCACAUUAGUGAUCAGCAAGUAAGGGGGACAUUUGGUGCAGCAUCACAUUUCUGACAUCCCUUCAUGCUUUUUAUGUCUGACUCUGUCAUCUCUGCUAAAAGAAGCCUCUCUUUUUAUUUCCUUUUUUUCUUCUAGUUUUUUUUUUUGUUUUUUUUUUUUUUUUGUAGACAGGGCCUAGUGGUCUUCCUAGGCUGGUCUCAAACUUCUGGACUCAAGGGAUAUUCCCACCUCAGCCUCCCAAACUGUUGGGAUUACAGGCGUGAGCCAUUGGGCCCGGUCCUCUUUUUUU
rnacentral:lncRNA from 1 species